rnacentral:ncRNA from 1 species
UCGGUAGAGGUGCGCCUUUCAUCAGUAACUCCACACAAGCGCCGGGGCGGCGCGGGGCGAAAGGGAACGGCGCCGAAGGACGACGGGCGCCCCGGCCCGUGCGAUCCUGGGGCACGGCGGAAUACGUCGUGCACUGUCGCAUCAUGCGGAGAGCUGCCA